rnacentral:rRNA from 1 species
AUUGAACGCUGGCGGCAUGCUUUACACAUGCAAGUCGAACGGUAACAGGCCUUCGGGUGCUGACGAGUGGCGAACGGGUGAGUAAUGCAUCGGAACGUGCCCAGAGGUGGGGGAUAACGCAGCGAAAGCUGUGCUAAUACCGCAUGUGAUCUGAGGAUGAAAGCGGGGGACCAGGCAGCAAUGUUUGGCCUCGCGCCUUUGGAGCGGCCGAUGUCAGAUUAGGUAGGUGGUGGGGUAAAGGCCUACCAAGCCGACGAUCUGUAGCUGGUCUGAGAGGACGACCAGCCACACUGGGACUGAGACACGGCCCAGACUCCUACGGUAGGCAGCAGUGGGGAAUUUUGGACAAUGGGCGCAAGCCUGAUCCAGCAAUGCCGCGUGCGGGAAGAAGGCCUUCGGGUUGUAAACCGCUUUUGUACGGAACGAAAAGGCUCUGGCUAAUACCUGGGGCUGAUGACGGUACCGUAAGAAUAAGCACCGGCUAACUACGUG